GGGAAGCGGCGAACGGGUGAGUAACACCUAUGUAAUCUGCCCAUCAGACGGGGACAACGAUUGGAAACGAUCGCUAAUACCGGAUAGGACGAAAGUUUAAAGAUGCUCCUGGCAUCACUGAUGGAUGAGCCUGCGGCGCAUUAGCUAGUUGGUGGGGUAAAGGCCUACCAAGGCGACGAUGCGUAGGGGUUCUGAGAGGAAGGUCCCCCACACUGGUACUGAGACACGGACCAGACUCCUACGGGAGGCAGCAGUGAGGAAUAUUGGUCAAUGGGCGAUAGCCUGAACCAGCCAAGUCGCGUGAGGGAAGACGGCCCUAUGGGUUGUAAACCUCUUUUGUCGGGGAGCAAGGUCGCUACGAGUAGCGAUUUGAGAGUACCCGAAGAAAAAGCAUCGGCUAACUCCGUGCCAGCAGCCGCGGUAAUACGGAGGAUGCGAGCGUUAUCCGGAUUUAUUGGGUUUAAAGGGUGCGUAGGCGGGAGAUCAAGUCAGCGGUAAAAAUGCGGGGCCCAACCCCGUCGAGCCGUUGAAACUGGUUUUCUUGAGUGGGCGAGAGGUAUGCGGAAUGCGUGGUGUAGCGGUGAAAUGCAUAGAUAUCACGCAGAACCCCGAUUGCGAAGGCAGCAUACCGGCGCCCAACUGACGCUGAGGCACGAAAGCGUGGGUAUCGAACAGGAUUAGAUACCCUGGUAGUCCACGCAGUAAACGAUGAACACUACCUGUUCGGUCUGACUGAAGACUGAGUGGGACAGCGAAAGCGUUAAGUGUUCCACCUGGGGAGUAC
rnacentral:rRNA from 1 species